ensembl:lncRNA
UGUGUGUGUGUGUGUGUGUGUGUGUGAGAUACACACACACUCGUGGCAUCUCUGGGGGGCAAAUGAAUGGUUGCUCUCUAAAACUAUGUCAUGCUAAAAUAUGACUAAUGUGUUUUGUUGUAGAUGCCGCGUCCAAGCAAGCAGUCCAAGGCAGCCAAGCGGCGCUGUGCUGAAAGAGGGCUGACUGCAGUAGACCUGGGGUCUGCUGCCGAGGUCGCGCUUCCUCGUAAAAUUAAAGUUGCCAAGGUCGCGCUUCCUCGUAAAAUUAAAGUUGCCGAGUUUGCGCUAAUUCGUAAAAGUCAAGUUGCCGAGGUCGCGCUUCCUCGUAAAAACAAAGUUGCCGAGAUGGCGCUUCCUCGUAAAAAACAAGUUGCCUCCAAAACUCUGCCAAAACUCUGCCAACAUUCUGCCAACAUUUUGCCAACAAUUUGCCAACAAUCUGCCAAAACUCUGCCAAAACUCUGCCAAAACUCUGCCAAAAUUCUGCCAAAUGACCUGCCAAAUACUGUGAAUUACAUGAAAGACGAUAAUGUUACCGAUGAUUGUUUGAUUCUGCCUGUUGACAGAUCUGUGCUGAUGGGGUCGUUUCAUCAAGAUGAUUUACAGUUCGGAAAGGAUCGCAACAAGCAAUGUGGUGCCAUCAGUCUGACUGCAGUUCUGAAGUCCAAUCUGAGUGACGUGUGGACCUGGACGAGCAGAGAUCUCGAUGAUGUUUUGAUUAAGGGAACUGUACUUUACAGAUCAAUGAAUGCACAGCGUCUAAUAAGAGACCAAGAAAGAGGUUACAUUGCUGUGUCUGAAUUGCCUAGACACUACAAAGUGUGGAAUACAAAUUUUGCAAUUAACUAUGCAGAGUCUUUCACUGGAUUGAUUCGUGUUGAUGACUAUGAUCAAAGUUUACGUGAUGUUGCUAUGCCUUUUGAUGAAGCACUCCAGCGUUCACUAUAUGGUAAUGAUGCUUGUUUGUUAACCAUUUGUGCUAAUACAUGUGCAAUAGUCAAUGGAAGAGGCAAGUUUGCAUUUGUUGAUUCACAUAUAAACUCAAAUGUCAACAGGAAAGGUCGAAGGGCAAGCUGUGUUUCAUACUUCAACUGUUUACAGACCCUGAUCCGUCAUGUGUAUGACUUUGCAGAACGGUUUGGCGGAAGUACACCCCGAUUUGAGGCAACAGGUGUGAAAGCUGCAAUAAUCCAUGUCGACCCUGACAACGCCAACUACAGUACAAUGAGACUUGGCUCAACAACACAGGUUCCCGAGGAACCGCAACUUCCAGGGUACACGUUCAAGCACAAUCCGAGAGAAAACUGUUACGAUGAUUCUGAACCGGUCUUUGCAGGGUUGAAACAACAACAAAGAGCAUUUGUUACAGCUCGUCUUUGACCUUGACAAACAUCCUGGGAGGAAACUCAUCAUGGGAGACUUCAAUGAGGAUAUCUUUGUGUCGUCUACCAUUGCCAAGUUACUGGAACAGCAUGGGUACAGUCAACACGUGCACACAGCCACAACUGAAAAAGCCUGCUGAUGGAGAAAUACCUGGAAAAAAGCGUGUUGCUGCUCAUCUACCUUUUUCAUCGUUGAGGCCUGAUCAAACUCAUCUAUUUUCACCUGUGGUGCAGACCUUCAGUAACAGAUUCCACCUGUUGCAGCUUGCUCGAGCUCAUCCAUCUUCACCUGUAUCCCAAACUUCCAAGACCAAUCCGAACUACAAAAUCCACUGCUGCUAGAAGUUUGACUGUCCAUGAUGGUCUUGUGAGAUCACUUUCCUUAAUUUUUUAAAGCGUGUUACGGUGACUGGACUGGAUGCCUGGACUCUCCUCAUGGUUAACUGGCCAGCACCACAUCACCGUGUUAUAAAAUGAUUAAUCAUUUUAUGAUUAAUCGUUUUUUGUUUUAUAUCUGUUUUGUUUGUUUUUUAGCACUUUGGUGACCAAUUUAAUAUGAUGUGCAUGUGUUUACCUGUAUGUCAAUUAUGGCACCCACUCCUGACCAUCCCUGGAAGAAGGGAUCCCCUACUAUGCGUUUCUUCUCAAGAUUUCUUCCUUGCUAAUUUCAAGGGAGUUUUUUCUUGCCCUUGUGGGGGCUUGGGUAAAGGGGGGUGUCAUAAAUAUUUUACCUGUUAAGCCCUUUGUAAUGGUGAUUAAGGGCUAUACAAAUAAACUUGAAUUGAUUCCAUUAGUUUGUAUACUAUUUACGAUAUCAUGUCACAAGAUGGAUAAGACAACAUAACAAUGUUGUAUAUAUGCAUUAAGAGUAUUAAAAGUAGGUGGUGUGUGUGUUUAUUACUACCUUUUAUCAGUAGUUGCACUAUGGUUAGCACUAUGGGUGAUGUGGAAAAUACUGAAUCAUACCUCAAGUAUGAUUCAGUAUUUUCCACAUCACCCAUCAUCACUUAUAUGAUUAAACCCUGAGUACUUGCUUGUUUAUUUAGAUUGGCUUAACAGAAACGAUGCUGCCUAUCUCUUAGUAUUGACCACAAUAAUUUAACUUCAUGAUUUUUCCUACCAUUGACUGACUGGGUCUUAAUUAAUCAGUGGUACAAUCCCAAUUACAAUCAGGAUGAAGUGAACAUACUCUGAAUGCUAUGCUCUUACUCAAAUAAAUGUUGACACAGAUUCUGUAAUGGUGUCUUGAAGAGGAGUUGUGCGCACAUC